rnacentral:rRNA from 1 species
CUACGGAGGGUACAAGCGUUAUUCGGAAUCACUGGGCGUAAAGGACGCGUAGGCGGGUUGGCAAGUCAGAUGUGAAGUCCUACAGCUUAACUGUAGAACUGCAUUUGAAACUGCUAACCUAGAGUAUGGGAGGGGGAGAUGGAAUUAGUGGUGUAGGGGUAAAAUCCGUAGAUAUCACUAGGAAUACCAAAAGCGAAGGCGAUCUCCUGGAACAUAACUGACGCUAAGGCGUGAAAGCGUGGGGAGCAAACAGGAUUAGAUACCCUAGUAGUCC